GACGAACGCUGGCGGCGUGCUUAACACAUGCAAGUCGAACGGAAAGGCCUUUUCGGAGGUACUCGAGUGGCGAACGGGUGAGUAACACGUGGGUGAUCUGCCCUGCACUCUGGGAUAAGCCUGGGAAACUGGGUCUAAUACCGGAUAGGACCGCACUUUAGUGUGUGUGGUGGAAAGUUUUUUCGGUGUAGGAUGAGCCCGCGGCCUAUCAGCUUGUUGGUGGGGUAAUGGCCUACCAAGGCGGCGACGGGUAGCCGGACUGAGAGGUUGGUCGGCCACAUUGGGACUGAGAUACGGCCCAGACUCCUACGGGAGGCAGCAGUGGGGAAUAUUGCACAGUGGGCGCAAGCCUGAUGCAGCGACGCCGCGUGGGGGAUGACGGCCUUCGGGUUGGAAACUCCUUUCGCCAGGGACGAAGCGUUUUGUGACGGUACCUGGAGGAGAAGCACCGGCUAACUACGUG
rnacentral:rRNA from 1 species